ACGAGGUCCCUGAAGACCCUGAGGACCAGCACCACCCCUCUCACCAGGGAAACCACGUUCACCCUGUUAGGAAACAGGUACACUGAAUUAACAGGAGCAACACAGUACCAUGGGAUUAAUGCAAGAUGAAGAGAAAAUGAAUAUAAAAACUCACUCUGGGUCCAACAGUACCAGGAGCUCCACCCUCUCCUGGAACACCCUACAGAGAGAAACAGAAAACAGGGAAUCCCAUCACUCCUGGCUGUCCACGGGCUCCCUGUGGACCAGGGGGUCCGGGGCGACCGUCCUCACCAGCGGCACCCUGUCAUGAUCAAAUACACAAAUCAACACUGAAAGACAAAUUUGGCAGAUGUAAAGAAAGAAGUUGUAUAGUGUUACCUGAUUUACUUGCCAACAUUUAUUGAAUAUUCAAUAUCAUUAGCCUAAUAGCACAAUGGUCCAAGUCAUUUUUAACAUUGCCACAAUAUCAAUAAAAUACCGAUGUGAUUGCCAAGAAUUGUGUCUUUUCUUUAAGUCUGUGUAGAUUCUCAGUCAUCCAGGUCACGGUACUCUGUUAAAUUUAACCAAGUCAACUGAACUCUUCUUGUUUGUAGAAUGCUAUUCAUUCAUUC